rnacentral:rRNA from 1 species
GGGGGCGCAAGCCUGAUCCAGCAAUACCGCGUGUGUGAAGAAGGCCUUCGGGUUGUAAAGCACUUUUAUAUGGGAAGAAGUGUAGUGUGUUAAUAGCGCAUUGCAUUGACGGUACCAUAGGAAUAAGCACCGGCUAACUCCGUGCCAGCAGCCGCGGUAAUACGGAGGGUGCGAGCGUUAAUCGGAAUUACUGGGCGUAAAGGGUACGUAGGCGGCUUGAUAAGUCAGAUGUGAAAUCCCCGGGCUUAACCUGGGAACUGCAUUUGAAACUGUUGAGCUAGAGUGAGUGAGAGGUUGGUGGAAUUCCUGGUGUAGCGGUGAAAUGCGUAGAUGUCUUGAGGAACAUCAGUGGUGAAGGCGACUGACUGGCACUACACUUGACACUUGAAGUAC